UACGGAGGGUGCAAGCGUUGUCCGGAUUUAUUGGGUUUGAAGGGUGCGUAGGCGGCUCUGUAAGUCAGCGUUGAAAUAUGGCAGCUCAACUGUCAGACUGGCAUUGAUACUGCAGGGCUUGAGUGAAGUCGAGGUAGGCGGAAUUGAUGGUGUAGCGGUGAAAUGCAUAGAUAUCAUCAAGAACAUCGAUUGCGAAGGCAGCUUACUAGACUUUAACUGACGCUGAGGCACGAAAGCGUGGGGAUCAAACAGG
rnacentral:rRNA from 1 species